GUGGGGAAUCUUCCGCAAUGGACGAAAGUCUGACGGAGCGACGCCGCGUGAGUGAAGAAGGCCUUCGGGUCGUAAAGCUCUGUCAUCAGGGACGAACGGCCGGUGGAGUGGAAAGCCACCGGAUUGACGGUACCUGAGAAGGAAGCCACGGCUAACUACGUGCCAGCAGCCGCGGUAAUACGUAGGUGGCAAGCGUUGUCCGGAAUUAUUGGGCGUAAAGCGCGCGCAGGUGGGAUCUUAAGUCCAUUUUUAAAGUUCGGAGCUCAACUCCGUGAUGGGAUGGAAACUGGGAUUCUUGAGUACCGGAGAGGAAAGUGGAAUUCCAAGUGUAGCGGUGAAAUGCGUAGAGAUUUGGAAGAACACCAGUGGCGAAGGCGACUUUCUGGACGAUGUCUGACGCUGAGGCGCGAAAGCUAGGGGAGCGAACGGGAUUAGAAACCCUGGUAGUCC
rnacentral:rRNA from 1 species